UACAGAGACUGCAAGCGUUAUUCGGAUUCACUGGGCGUAAAGGGUGCGCAGGCGGCCGUGUGUGUAAGGUGUGAAAUCCCGGGGCUCAACCCCGGAACUGCGCCUUAAACUACAUGGCUAGAGUACUGGAGAGGGUAGCGGAAUUCACGGUGUAGCAGUGAAAUGCGUAGAUAUCGUGAGGAACACCAGUGGCGAAGGCGGCUCACUGGCCCGAUACUGACGCUGAGGCACGAAAGCGUGGGGAGCAAACAGG
rnacentral:rRNA from 1 species